rnacentral:misc_RNA from 1 species
AUGCGAUAAGUAAUGUGAAUUGCAGAAUUCAGUGAACCAUCGAACCUUUGAACGCACAUUGUGCCCCCUGGUACCCCGGGGGGCAUGCCCGUCCGAGCGUCAUCUCAGACCCUCAGGCCCCGGCCUGGCGCUGGGCCCCGCGCGCAUGGCGCGGGCCCGAAACCCCGCGGCGGUGGCGCCCCCGGAUCGAGCGACCAAGGCCCCACGGCCCCGCUGAGAUCCCGAGGACAGCGGUCUGACCACGCCGUAAAACCCCCAACUUCUCAAGGUUGACCUCGAAUCAGGUAGGAAUACCCGCUGAACUUAAGC